rnacentral:rRNA from 1 species
CCUACGGGGGGCACCAGUGGGGAAUAUUGCACAAUGGGCGCAAGCCUGAUGCAGCCAUGCCGCGUGUAUGAAGAAGGCCUUCGGGUUGUAAAGUACUUUCAGCGAGGAGGAAGGUGUUGAGGUUAAUAACCUCAGCAAUUGACGUUACCCGCAGAAGAAGCACCGGCUAACUCCGUGCCAGCAGCCGCGGUAAUACGGAGGGUGCAAGCGUUAAUCGGAAUUACUGGGCGUAAAGCGCACGCAGGCGGUCUGUCAAGUCGGAUGUGAAAUCCCCGGGCUCAACCUGGGAACUGCAUUCGAAACUGGCAGGCUAGAGUCUUGUAGAGGGGGGUAGAAUUCCAGGUGUAGCGGUGAAAUGCGUAGAGAUCUGGAGGAAUACCGGUGGCGAAGGCGGCCCCUGGACAAAGACUGACGCUCAGGUGCGAAAGCGUGGGGAGCAAACAGGAUUAGAUACCCGAGUAGUCA